CUAUACAUGCAGUCGAACGAACUCUGGUAUUGAUUGGUGCUUGCAUCAUGAUUUACAUUUGAGUGAGUGGCGAACUGGUGAGUAACACGUGGGAAACCUGCCCAGAAGCGGGGGAUAACACCUGGAAACAGAUGCUAAUACCGCAUAACAACUUGGACCGCAUGGUCCGAGUUUGAAAGAUGGCUUCGGCUAUCACUUUUGGAUGGUCCCGCGGCGUAUUAGCUAGAUGGUGGGGUAACGGCUCACCAUGGCAAUGAUACGUAGCCGACCUGAGAGGGUAAUCGGCCACUUUGGGACUGAGACACGGCCCAAACUCCUACGGGAGGCAGCAGUAGGGAAUCUUCCACAAUGGACGAAAGUCUGAUGGAGCAACGCCGCGUGAGUGAAGAAGGGUUUCGGCUCGUAAAACUCUGUUGUUAAAGAAGAACAUAUCUGAGAGUAACUGUUCAGGUAUUGACGGUAUUUAACCAGAAAGCCACGGCUAACUACGUGCCAGCCGCCGCGGUAAUACGUAGGUGGCAAGCGUUGUCCGGAUUUAUUGCGCGUAAAGCGAGCGCAGGCGGUUUUUUAAGUCUGAUGUGAAAGCCUUCGGCUCAACCGAAGAAGUGCAUCGGAAACUGGGAAACUUGAGUGCAGAAGAGGACAGUGGAACUCCAUGUGUAGCGAUGAAAUGCGUAGAUAUAUGGAAGAACACCAGUGGCGAAGGCGGCUGUCUGGUCUGUAACUGACGCUGAGGCUCGAAAGUAUGGGUAGCAAACAGGAUUAGAUACCCUGGUAGUCCAUACCGUAAACGAUGAAUGCUAAG
rnacentral:rRNA from 1 species